UGGCCAGGCUGGUCUCAAACUCCUGACGUCAAGUGAUCCUCCCACCUUAGCCUCCGAAAGUGCUGAGAUUACAGGCAUGAGUCACCAUGCCUGCCCAAGUUGGUUAUAGCUUUGAUAAACAAGAUUGUGAUUUAGUAACAGUAGCUUGGGUGCUACCAUCUCUUUAAAGCUUGGACUCCUAGGGAUGAUGGUAAUAAGGUGUCCAGGGUGGGCUGGGGCAGGGGCCACUGCAGACUCUGCAGGUGGGUCUCUGAGGAUAAAUAAAAUGUUUGUGGCAGAUUCCAAUACAGAAUGGGUGAGGAGUAGAUGUUUCCUGACAGGCUGCUUACUGGAUAUGGUUGCAGUGGUGGUAGAAAUGGUUUUUCAGAAACUACAUGCUAUUUGGACAUACUGUUUGGAGGUCAGUGGUCGGGGCUAGAGGAGGUGGAGUUUAGCUAUGGGAAGGUGCCUCCCUGAAUGCCUGGAACUGUGUUCUCUGGGCUGGGGGGAAACCAGGAACAUUCCCACACUCAGAGCCCCAGGCAAGGGUCCCUGCUCUGCUGCCAGAUCCUCAGCGAGUGCAUUUGCCUUCCUGGUCCUUUUUCAUGUGUACUGUGAGAGAGUGAAUUAGUCUGGUAGGUCCCAGAAUACCAUGUGGGAAUUCUAUACAGAGAAAAAAAGGGGAAAUGGAGCUGCUCUGAGGAACCUGGGGUGGGGUGAGAGUCCAAAGAGCCUUCCCCAGGCCCCCUUGGGAAUCCCUAGAACCGGACUCAGUCACACUGGAGAAGUCCUGAGUGGCUGGGAACCCAUGUCAGCAGUUCCGGUGUUCCUGGUGAGAGAGUCAGAGCAUGUGGGGCCAUGUGUCUGGGAGCAGGACCUGAAGGAGGACAGUGGACAGCAGCAGUCACAGGCAGGGUGGGUGCCUUAGCCAUGUGCUGGGGUUCUGCACCGGGGUCACCAGGCCCCUGUCCUCAUUGUCAGCAGAGCCAGAGCUGCCACCCUCUAACCCACUCAGGAAAUAGUCAAACCCUGCCUAAGGACCCCAGGAAUAAAGGGCCCAUUUAGGCCCUAACUGGGGAACUGGCCUGGCCAGGAUCUCAGCCAGGCUCUGGCAGGUGGCACCUAACUCCCAGCCCUGGAGGGCGUGGCUAAAAAGCAGCUAAAUGCACUGGUUCUGGGCGGAAAAAGCCUGGGCUCAGCUUCUGGCUUUUCCACUUCCUAUCUGUGUAAUCCUGGGCUACUCAGUUCUCUGAGCCUCAGGGGUUUUUUUGUUUGUUUAUUUUUUAUCCUUGAAAUUAGAAUGGUAAGCCUGGUGAAGAGUUGGUGAGCCGAUAUAGUUAAAGUGCUUCAUGCUAGGCCAGUUCACGUCCAGCCCUCUGUCAGUGGGAGAUGUCUGGGAGCUUCUGAAGUCUCCCAGCCAGCAGACAGCUUCCCACCCACUGAGGACCUGCCACCCUGGACUGUGGGUGUGCCUAGAGGCCCACUCUUGUGGCCC